GGAUGUGAGGGCGACCUGGCUGCGACAUCUGUCACCCCAUUGACCGCCAGGGUUGAUUGGGCUGCUCUGGCUGGCUAGGCGGGGGUCCCCUUCCUCCCUCACCACUCCAUGUGCCUCCCUCCCGAAGCUGCACGCUCGGUCGAAGAGGACGACCUUCCCCCGACAGAGGAGGACCGUUCUUUGGUCAAGGGUGUACGAGUAGCCGCGCUCCCCUGCUAGAACCUCCAAACAAGCUCACGAGUACCCUCCUUCAUGCCCAUCA
ensembl:misc_RNA 7SK 7SK RNA